GUGUCGCUUCAGCAGCACAUAUACUAAAAUUGGAAUUAUAAAGAGAAGAUUAGCAUGGCCCUGUGCAAGGAUGAUAUGCAAAUUGGUGAAGUUUUCCAUAAUUUU
ensembl:snRNA U6 U6 spliceosomal RNA